rnacentral:rRNA from 1 species
UUGGAAACUGAUUUACUUGAGUGCGAUAGAGGCAAGUGGAACUCCAUGUGUAGCGGUGAAAUGCGUAGAUAUGUGGAAGAACACCAGUGGCGAAAGCGGCUUGCUAGAUCGUAACUGACGUUGAGGCUCGAAAGUAUGGGUAGCAAACGGGAUUAGAUACCCCGGUAGUCCAUACCGUAAACGAUGGGUGCUAGUUGUUAAGAGGUUUCCGCCUCCUAGUGACGUAGCAAACGCAUUAAGCACCCCGCCUGAGGAGUACGGCCGCAAGGCUAAAACUUAAAGGAAUUGACGGGGACCCGCACAAGCGG